rnacentral:rRNA from 1 species
GCUUACGGCCACACCACCCUGAGCGCGCCCGAUCUCGUCUGAUCUCGGAAGCUAAGCAGGGUCGGGCCUGGGUUAGUACUUGGAUGGGAGAGACCGCCUGGGAAUACCAGGUGCCGUAAGCU